rnacentral:rRNA from 1 species
GACGAACGCUGGCGGCGUGCUUAACACAUGCAAGUCGAACGGAAAGGCCCUGCUUUUGUGGGGUGCUCGAGUGGCGAACGGGUGAGUAACACGUGAGUAACCUGCCCUUGACUUUGGGAUAACUUCAGGAAACUGGGGCUAAUACCGGAUAGGAGCUCCUGCUGCAUGGUGGGGGUUGGAAAGUUUCGGCGGUUGGGGAUGGACUCGCGGCUUAUCAGCUUGUUGGUGGGGUAGUGGCUUACCAAGGCUUUGACGGGUCGCCGGCCUGAGAGGGUGACCGGCCCCAUUGGGACUGAGAUACGGCCCAGACUCCUACGGGAGGCAGCAGUGGGGAAUAUUGCACAAUGGGCGGAAGCCUGAUGCAGCAACGCCGCGUGCGGGAUGACGGCCUUCGGGUUGUAAACCGCUUUCGCCUGUGACGAAGCGUGAGUGACGGUAAUGGGUAAAGAAGCACCGGCUAACUACGUG